AAGCCACUCAAAGGUCUAUAAAUGAUGUGGCCAUACCGACGACAGUCUCACUUUGACCAGGACUAAGAACUAAUUUCGACGACUACUCACAGCCAAAAUCUAAGAUGGGUCGUACAGCACUGUUGAUGCUCUUUUUGUCGAUUUGUCUGAGUUAUGCUUCGGUAUCAGCAGCAAACCAAGAAAGAGAUUCACGAUUUUGGUUUCGUCCAAGCGGCAAAAAAUGUCUGAAAUAUUCUGAAAGAUGUACUCGCGUUCAGCGGUUCGGUGUCCCCACUUUUCAACAUUACAAGUGCCGUAAAUGGCAGGAUCGUUGCAAUCGUUACAACCAACUUUGCCCUAAACUUGUUUUUCAACAACAAAUCGUGCCUAAAGUUGUUCAACAACAAGUAGUACCGGAAGUUGUUCAACAACAAAUCGUACCUCAAGUUGUUCAACAACAAGUAGUACCGGAAGUUGUUAAACAAGUUGUACCGGAAGUUGUUCCACAGCAAGUUGUAACGGGAGCCGUUCCGCAACAAGUCGUAAAUGCUCCUGUUACUCAGGAAGACGAACGUCAAUUUUUUCCACAACAAUACGUAGUUGUUCCUGCCGUGCCACAACACAUUUACGUACAGCAGCCCCCCAGAAAAUAUAAGUUCAAAUUGUUCGGUUAGUCUACGUAUGUGAGAGAUAAUCUUCUUCUUUUUCCGAUCAAUCGUUCACGUCCAACGUGACUAAAUUAAACCCCCAAAAUCCUGCAGAUUGUAUCUGAAAUACAUUUUAGUCGAGGCUUAAAAAAUUCUUUAUUUCUUGUCAAUAAAACGUUUCGUGAAAAGAUGUCAUUUGAAAAUGAGACAGAGAACCACCUCAUAUUAGACAGCUUACACAAAUUUUAUUCAAUCAUUUGAAGAUAAUUAUUGUGUCUUCAUAACUACACAGCCUAGAUUAGAGUUCCCCUAAUUUUCUUGCGGGGUGAGAUAAUUAUAAAACGGUUACGAGAAAUAAGCACGUUGUUGCGUUACAUAGCUUGCAGUCACGUGAAAUCUAUGCACUUUCUGAACCACAUAAAACAAUUCACACCACUUCCGCUGAGAUGCAGUAAAACUCAAAAUGAUUUCAUUUGUCAUGCAACACAUAUUGCACAAUCAAGAGGAAAGAGGGGGAGUGUGUUUGGAUAAUUUCAGGAUACACAGAUGACAGAUCAGCCAAUAAAUACAUCAAUCUCCAUGCCUUUGCGAUGACAGUCUGAAAGCCAACGGUGACGGACGAAGGUGACCUGAAGUAAAAUCUAGCUUUUUAGCAUGACUCGCCUAACACUGCUAAUCGUCUUAUUGUCCGCUGUCUACCUAGCCCAUUCUUUAGUCCAGGAGAAUUAUGACGCCGCAAAUAACGAGGCCUUGUGGAUGACGAAUGAAUAUGUAAAUCGUAACGCUGGCGAAGCUGCGGACCAACAAAGAGAAUCCCGUACGUUCUGGCGACAUCAUCACCGUGAUUUUAACAGAGUACCGGUUCGUCGACGUCCGGUAACUGACCCUACAGUCCCGCAAAGAGAUGUUAUCACUGAUUCGGAAGGUUUUGGCAUCGGUGACUCAUGAGCUUUUGCUCAAUCUAGUUCCGUGUACACCGUAUAAUGAAAUACAAUAUCCUGUCGUAUUUUAA